rnacentral:rRNA from 1 species
GAUGAACGCUGGCGGCGUGCCUAAUACAUGCAAGUCGAGCGAACAGACGAGGAGCUUGCUCCUCUGACGUUAGCGGCGGACGGGUGAGUAACACGUGGAUAACCUACCUAUAAGACUGGGAUAACUUCGGGAAACCGGAGCUAAUACCGGAUAAUAUAUUGAACCGCAUGGUUCAAUAGUGAAAGACGGUUUUGCUGUCACUUAUAGAUGGAUCCGCCCCGCAUUAGCUAGUUGGUAAGGUAACGGCUUACCAAGGCAACGAUGCGUAGCCGACCUGAGAGGGUGAUCGGCCACACUGGAACUGAGACACGGUCCAGACUCCUACGGGAGGCAGCAGUAGGGAAUCUUCCGCAAUGGGCGAAAGCCUGACGGAGCAACGCCGCGUAAGUGAUGAAGGUCUUCGGAUCGUAAAACUCUGUUAUUAGGGAAGAACAAAUGUGUAAGUAACUAUGCACGUCUUGACGGUACCUAAUCAGAAAGCCACGGCUAACUACGUG